GUGUUGGUCUAGUGUUACCCAAACUAAACGACCUAGGUGAUUACUGUUGAUAGCAGAUAUGAGCACGCGAUUCAGUGAAAACAAGUCUAAGAUUCGUUUCACUCUGGAACUGAAAGUUUGGUUAUUGAGGAGCCCAUUUCAAGCGCUCAGCAUUUACUGAGAGGAUUUUAGGCAAUCUUUUCCACAUCUUUACUAGAUUGCCAGUAAUGUUUCAGUAAGAAAAGAAAGACUAUACUUUUGAGUUUUCUGUUCUUGAGAAAAGUAAUUUUACACAUUAAUAGCUAAAGACUUUGUUAGGACAAGAAGAGAACUGCAGAAAAUACCCGCUUUUUUUCCUUAUAAAAUUACAUUAGUUGAAGAACAGUUUCAACAAUUUUUUUUUUCGGCCAUAGAUCAAUAGUUUUACUCUUUCUGAAAGCCCCACUUUGCCAGGUCACAAAUGGAAGUAGUAGCUUCAGGCGUGUCACCUCGAGAUUCCCCUGAAGAAGAGGAAGAGGUCAAGGUUGAGGAGGAGGUAUUGCCAGAUGGUACAAUCCAUCAAAAAGUUGUUCAUGUUUGGCACACAGGAUCACGCAGUACUGAUGUAGGAACAUUUAACGAUGCCUGCAGUACACGCUCUGAAAUUUUGGAGACUUUUGAGCAACCACCACAUGCCCUGGAGAAUUCGGAGGAUAUUGAGGAAGUCAUGCCAGAUGGGCGGAAGCGAAAACGUUCAAUCAAAAUGAAUUGUCUGGUCCAUGCCAUCUCCGCCCGUCACGAGGCAAUGGAUAACAACCAGGUAACAUCUGUGGAGAGUUAUGAUCUGGAGGAAGUAGUUCCAGGCACAGUGACAGCAUUUGAAAAGGGCUUGGAUUCUGAUUACGAAGAAGAGUUGGAACGCAAAAAGGGAGGAGAGGGAAACAAACACAAAUCAAGUUCCGAAAAAUAAAACAAAGAAAAUAAAGAAAAUCCCUCAUAUGUGAAAAAGUAAUCUUUAUAGCAAAUUACUGCAAAGUAUUUUUCUUGCUUGUGCUUUAAUGCUGACACUUUUAGGCAUUUGUGCAUGGUAGAAUUCUUGAACCAGUAUAAAGAGUAAUCGCUUUCAUACCUCUGGUCCAUUCUUUGGAGCAUCUCCACCACAGAGACAUGUUAAGCUUCAUUAAUAGGACUUUUGUCACCAGGAGAUGCAUCAUUAAUGGAUUAAACAUUAAUUUGUGUCUCUAGUUUCAGCAGAAGCAUAACAAACAUAUUUACACCAUUACACUAUGUUGCUUUUUCACAUUACAGUUCUGAAGACAGUGGUUAUUAUUGAAUCAGACAAUGCUGGCUUUGUUACAUCAGCUCUUUAAACCAUGAACAUUUCUGUUAUUUGUUCUUUGAAGUUUCAUGAUGUAAAUUUUAUGUCGAUGAAGUGACUUUCUUGGGGUGCAAAAACUGCGUUGUUAAAAUAAUUGUUACAAUGUUUUGGGAGCAAAGAAUGGGAAAGAACUUGGCAGACAGAAGUUUAAAAUACCAUCCUUUGUAGUAAUCAGUCUCAUGCAGUGUGCCACUUGACAUACUUGUGAAACAAUUUGAUCCCAGUGUUUUAUGUUGCCAUCAUCAAUCACUGUGCCUUUCAAGAAAUAAUGUAACGUGCUUGUACUUUUCUUCAGGUUGUUAACUACCAUUUUUUCACUGUAGUGACUAGAGUGUUAAGACAAAGAAGCCAGCCUUACAUUUAUUUUAAGAAAAUCUUCUCAUAAAAUAAGUGGGAUGAAUAAUUUUAAUUCAGUAUGAUGCACUUGUGACUUAUAUAAGCAAUGCUUAGUAAAAAAUGCAGUGAGAAGAGAUGAUCUAAAGCUAAAUCUUGAAAGCUCUACCACCAAAUGAGAUGUACUGGGAGGUAGUGAAAAGACAGAAAAGACUUAGAACAAAUUGGAAAAAGGCUUGGGUGAAAAGAAAAGAACAGAGGUUCAUAAAUUUGGCUACAUAAUGUGGAAAGUCUGAUGACAGGUGAAAUUACAGAAAAAAGUUUGAUAUUUCUUUGUGUUGCCAGGAAAUUUAGUAAGGAUUUUUAUUAUGACAAAACUCACAAUUCUUUAUUUUGAACUCAUGAGACAUCUACACCCAGCUCUCUCUCUCUCUCUCUGUUUUCUUUAUUUCAAGUGUUGUAAGUUACGCUUUAAAAGUUUUCUGAUUAUGUUUGCACUUUAUUCAUUCCAAUGACUCUUAUUACAACAUGACUGACAAAGAGCACUUUGUCAGGUGUGUUUAUUAUUUGAGGAAUAGCUUAAAGUUCUCAUGUUCAUAUCCCUUAUUUCUUAAAAUGUUUAGUAGCAGCAAGAAUAAUUUUGAAUGACAAAUUGAUGAGAGUAAAAUUAUUAUCUUACAUCAUAAGAUAAAUCAAUGCGAAUAUACUGGCCCUAUGAUAAUUAUAACCAAUGAAAGAACUCCUUAUACACUCCAAUCAAAGAGAUAUGGUCAGAAUUAUAAUGGUUUAGGCAUGAAAGUGGAUCAGCCAUGUGCUUAGAUGAGAGUGAAAACAGCACUUUUCAAAACACCUGAAGCAAAAGGAAGACCAAAGACAGCUUGGUGCCAAACAGCUAAAGCAGAGAUAGGAGUUGUGAACAUGUAAAGCACCUUAAGAGCGCCUAAGGCAGGCAAGCAUUGAGCCCUACAUGCCAAGAUGUAUAAGGAACGAAUGUAUGGAUAAAUGCAGAAGUAAAUUUGACAGCAUUUUGUUUUGCAUCAAAAGUUAAAUCAGAAGCAUUAUCAGCUAUGUUAUGAUUUUGUUUUAGUGUGCCACAUAUAUUUUGUUAUUGUACUUGGAACAUCAAUCUGUAUAAUGUAGUGUGUGUGUUUUCAAGAAGCCAGUAGCUGCAGAUUGAUUUUUGAAACAAAAUUAAGUUUUCAUGAAACUUCGAGAUAAAAGAUGCACUUGUCAGUUGAAAUGCUGGAGCAUAAUGAUUUUGCUCAGUGACAUAUUUUGGGCUUUUAAAAACUGUGAUACAGCCUGAAAAUGUGCUUGCAGCUACACAAGUCAAUGCAAUUUAGGUACCCACCAAAACUGUUGUGUUUGAAAGCAUGAAAACAGUAAGUUGCAUAACUUGAAUUUUUUUCCCCAAAAAAUAAAUGACGACAUCCAAGUAGAGUUCUUUGGGAAGGAGGUUAUUGUGUGUGUUGGGGUUGGGGUGGGGGAUAUUGGGGGAACUGUGACAGUUCUGCAUUGUUUAGCCUUUUCAUCUAGAUGUAAUACCCAGGAUAUGUUCAGGGGCUAGAAGGCUAUUCUUUAGCCCUUUUUAGGGUCUGAGGGAGUAUUUUAUAUUAGAAACUUCUCCAGAAGUAAGAAUACAAUGUAGUUAAGCUGUUGUAUAUUUAUUUAGAUUGCUGAUCACUGUUUCUUGAAGACUGAUAGAACAGCUGCAAUAGUGAAUAUAUUAUUCAUUUCAGGAGCAUAAAAUAAGAGAAGCACUUUUUUUGCAGGGAGGGGAUUAGAGGUAAGGGACAGGUGGUUGGAGCUCUGCAUAUGUUCGGAACUGCAUUAAGUACAGUCAGUAGCAUUUUGUGCCAUAUUUUAAAUUGAAUUUUUUUUACAUUUUCAUUACUUUUUUUUUUUGGAAUAUGCUCACCUCCACUUGUUUUCUUUUAGCUGCUAGUACCACAGGAAUAAUUGGGAGUGGCAGGGGUGGAUUUUUGAGAUGGCGAGAAACAUUUGUAUACGCUGCUGAUCUCUUCCUCUAGUAAAAGAGGAGUCUUGUCUUUAAUGGCUUGGGCACUUUACAAGUUGAGAUGAAUUUUUGCUUGUUUACAGUUGACUGAACUUAGAGGAGAGUCAUGACAGUUUAUUGUUUGUUGUAUGGCAGAAGUGUAUUUAUUAAAUUAUUACUUAAAAGUUUAAUCUAGUAUUAAACAAUCAAGAGCACAGAAGAUGUGUACAUCAGAGAUUAGUAAUUUCUGAAAAGUGUGCAGUAACGAGACAAACAUUGCUUAUUUACACAUGUAUAUGGAAUCUGUGGACAAGAAUAACCUUUAUAGUCUGGUGUAUCUAUGAUCUACUAUUUUAGGAUAUAUUUGGUUUUCAGCUUUAUGUAAAGCUAACUCGGAUACCUCGGAAAAGGAUAUGAAUAGUCAUAACAUUUAUUUUUAUAUGCUUAUUUGAAUGACAAUCUCCUUGUCAGUGUGUGUGUGCAUGCGCAAAAGAGCGCAUAGAAAUACAUUCCUCAAGAUCAAUAUGCUUGUGCUUGCUUUUAAAGUAUCUGUCCAUUCAAAUAGCUAAAAUGUUUUUAUUUACAGCUGUUUUAAGCAAAAUCACAAUUUUGGUUUACUUUUUGGCAGUAAUUGCUUACAAGACAUUCCAGUUGCUUUGUUUUACUCUUUCAUUUAUUUAGUCUAGAACAUAUUUGUGCUUUUUUGAAGUACAGUGAUGUCUGGACAUUAAAGUUUGAGAUUUGUUACCAUUAAA
rnacentral:lncRNA from 1 species